UCAGUGAGCUCAGGCCACUAAUGAAUGGCUGGCAUCCCAGCGUCUACCCACAAAAGACCCACUCUGACCUCCCAGAGCAAAACUCCACUGUUUAAAGGGCACAGAGGGCAAAGCCCUGGUGGCUUCCCUCCUUCCCUCCCUCCAUCUCACACCCGUCUUCCUGUAAACUUUUUGCUUGUAGAGAACCUGCCUAGAAGAAUACAAUUGCAAAGCGAGUCUUCAUGUCCAUGAUGAGGAGGCCCUCUAUGGAACUCCGUGUCAUUUGGAAGAUCCCCAGUGGUGAUGGAUAUGUUAAAUUGACUCCAUAAAAUUUCUACUCAUUUACACUCCCCGG